CAUUAUCCUCUCCGUCGAAUCUAAUGACCAUGGAAGCUCUCUCAACAUCAUCACACCUCUCUAAUUUGCCCCAGUCUUCGUGUUGGUCCUGUAAUCCGUGAAUCCACAAUCUGAGAAUCAGCAACGGAUCAAGCCACGGAGGGCUUCGUAUGCAAGCUCUCUUACACAACGACACGCCAAGUGAAGAUUAAUUUGAAGUAGAUCAUUUCCAGUGGCAUAUAGCUUCUUCUUAUUGUUGCUGUGAAGGAAAAAGAUUGAGACUUGUUCUCAUAGUAGUAUAAUCGAUGUGCAGACAUGAGGUUGUAGGCUUUACAACCAGAUAAGAUCGCUGUUGAUGGUGGUGAGCAGAACGUCAAGGUACUUUAUCUCAAAUCCCUCUCACUUGCUUUAGAUUCUCCAAACAUUCUUGUCCUUUGGUAAAUUGAAGUAGGUUCUUACUUGAUGGGAACUCUUUGACAUGUUCGAUAAUGUGAAGAACACUCUCUUUAGGAUGCUUGAUGGAAACUCCUCGAGGGAGAUGAUGUGAUGAAUGUGCAGAUAUGCUACAAGAAGAGGACUUCAAUCAUCAAAGUGUUUUUGACUCGCAUGGUUACCACAAUGGCGGAUGAAAGAGACGAGUCUCAGAGCAUUGAGCCCACAGGUAACAAUGAUCUUGUGGUAAGUAGUAUGUAGAGAGAACAACAAUAUGAUAUGUAAUAAGUGAAAGUAAUCAUUAAAACCUUAUGCUAGUUGAUGUAUGACUUGUUUUGAUCAAAUGGAAUCAGUUUGUUAAAAAAAUUUUAAGAACCUCAAAGAGAGGUUCUCCCAUUGGACCAUGAAAAAAUUAAUAACACUAACAAGGGUUCUAAACUUCUCAAAUCACAAAAUCAACUAUUAAAUUAUUCAUUAGAACCCAUUAUGGGUUCUAACCAAUGGACUUGCUCUAAGUACCCAGAUGCAAUGUUAUAUUGUGGUUUAGUCCAUGUUUUCAGAUUUUAUCACAAAACAUUGAGAGUUAUGAGCACAUAAAGUACACAAAGGAUGUACCGGUGUUUGAAGCUGCUCGUUCCAGGCACCAAGAAAGAAGUUCUUCACCAAAAACGUCUCCCUCU